UAAAACGUAGGAAGCGAGCGUUAUCCGGAUUUACUGGGCGUAAAGCGCAUGCAGGCGGUUGGACAAGUUGGACUUGAAAGCUCCUGGCUCAACUAGGAGAGGCGGUUCAAAACUGUUUGACUAGAGGAUGGACGAGGAGAGCGGAAUUCCCGGUGUAGUGGUGAAAUGCGUAGAUAUCGGGAGGAACACCAGUGGCGAAAGCGGCUCUCUAGGCCGUACCUGACGCUCAGAUGCGAAAGCCAGGGGAGAGAACGGGAUUAGAAACCCCGGUAUUCCUGGCCGUAAACGAUGUUAACUAGGCGUAGGGGGUGUCAAAGCCUCCUGUGCUGCAGCCAACGCGAUAAGUUAACCGCCUGGGGACUACGGCCGCAAGGCUA
rnacentral:rRNA from 1 species